GGUAUGGUUAUUUCGGAAGUUAUAAAACUCAUCACCCUGUGAACAUACCUAAAACGUUGCUUCGGCGGGAACAGACGGCCCUGUAACAACGGGCCGCCCCCGCCAGAGGACCCCUAACUCUGUUUUUAUAAUGUUUUUCUGAGUAAACAAGCAAAUAAAUUAAAACUUUCAACAACGGAUCUCUUGGCUCUGGCAUCGAUGAAGAACGCAGCGAAAUGCGAUAAGUAAUGUGAAUUGCAGAAUUCAGUGAAUCAUCGAAUCUUUGAACGCACAUUGCGCCCGCCAGUAUUCUGGCGGGCAUGCCUGUUCGAGCGUCAUUACAACCCUCAGGCCCCCGGGCCUGGCGUUGGGGAUCGGCAGAAGCCCCCUGUGGGCACACGCCGUCCCUCAAAUACAGUGGCGGUCCCGCCGCAGCUUCCAUUGCGUAGUAGCUAACACCUCGCAACUGGAGAGCGGCGCGGCCAUGCCGUAAAACACCCAACUUCUGAAUGUUGACCUCGAAUCAGGUAGGAAUACCCGCUGAACUUAAGCAUAUCAAUAAGGCGGAGGAA
rnacentral:rRNA from 1 species